rnacentral:tRNA from 1 species
GGACGCAUAGCUCAGCGGGAGAGCACUACGUUGACAUCGUAGGGGUCGCUGGUUCAAUCCCAGCUGCGUCCACCA